rnacentral:rRNA from 1 species
AUUGAACGCUGGCGGCAUGCCUUACACAUGCAAGUCGAACGGCAGCACGGACUUCGGUCUGGUGGCGAGUGGCGAACGGGUGAGUAAUACAUCGGAACGUGCCUGGUAGUGGGGGAUAACUACUCGAAAGAGUGGCUAAUACCGCAUGAGAUCUACGGAUGAAAGCAGGGGAUCGCAAGACCUUGUGCUACUAGAGCGGCCGAUGGCAGAUUAGGUAGUUGGUGGGAUAAAAGCUUACCAAGCCAACGAUCUGUAGCUGGUCUGAGAGGACGAUCAGCCACACUGGGACUGAGACACGGCCCAGACUCCUACGGGAGGCAGCAGUGGGGAAUUUUGGACAAUGGGCGAAAGCCUGAUCCAGCAAUGCCGCGUGCAGGAUGAAGGCCUUCGGGUUGUAAACUGCUUUUGUACGGAACGAAAAGCUUCGGGUUAAUACCCUGGA